UCCCUGUUGACUCAGACAGUAAAGAAUCUGUCUGCAAUGCAGGAGACCCAGGUUCAAUUCCUGGGUCAGGAA
rnacentral:tRNA from 1 species